rnacentral:rRNA from 1 species
GUGGGGAAUUUUGGACAAUGGGCGCAAGCCUGAUCCAGCAAUGCCGCGUGCAGGAAGAAGGCCUUCGGGUUGUAAACUGCUUUUGUACGGAACGAAACGGUCCUGGCUAAUAUCCGGGGCUAAUGACGGUACCGUAAGAAUAAGCACCGGCUAACUACGUGCCAGCAGCCGCGGUAAUACGUAGGGUGCAAGCGUUAAUCGGAAUUACUGGGCGUAAAGCGUGCGCAGGCGGUUUUGUAAGACAGGCGUGAAAUCCCCGGGCUCAACCUGGGAAUUGCGCUUGUGACUGCAAGGCUGGAGUGCGGCAGAGUGGGAUGGAAUUCCGCGUGUAGCAGUGAAAUGCGUAGAUAUGCGGAGGAACACCGAUGGCGAAGGCAAUCCCCUGGGCCUGCACUGACGCUCAUGCACGAAAGCGUGGGGAGCAAACAGGAUUAGAAACCCUUGUAGUCC